rnacentral:lncRNA from 1 species
CUGGCUAUAGGGAUAAAAUAGUAAUCUUUCAAAAUUAAACUAAUUUCUAAUGGCAGUCAUCAAGGGUAGGUCCCAAUGACCACAGCAGUAACUCUUACUCCAUUUUCGAGCUGGAGACUGACAUCGCCUUCCCUCAGCCCUCUAACUUCUUUCACACCCUGUAUAGAAGUGCACAAGUGAGCACUUGAACUAGAAUUUAGAAUCCAAGU